UACGUAGGGGGCAAGCGUUUGUCCGGAUUUACUGGGCGUAAAGAGCGUGUAGGCGGCUCGAUAAGUCUGCUGUGAAAGUCCAGGGCUCAACCCUGGAAGGCCGGUGGAAACUGUCGGGCUAGAGUCCGGAAGAGGCGAGUGGAAUUCCCGGUGUAGCGGUGAAAUGCGCAGAUAUCGGGAGGAACACCAAUGGCGAAGGCAGCUCGCUGGGACGGUACUGACGCUGAGACGCGAAAGCGUGGGGAGCAAACAGG
rnacentral:rRNA from 1 species